GCCAGGUCUUGUUUCCCUAAUGAUAACAUUUUUAUCCAAAGUCCCAGCCCUUGCUAUGACAUGUCGGCUAAAUUACCUCUCUGAGUUUCACAACAUAAUCUGGGACUAUUUCUGCUCUGCUCAUGGUCAGGGCAUCCCUGCAGGUGCUCACUAGAUGGUUGGUGAUUUCAUGAAGGUUAAUUCCUGUCUCCCAAAGAACCUGCUUACCCCAAUAUCCAUGCCUUAAUGAACCUGACAACCUGACCUUUCUUAUGUACUGCAGGUAGGAAAGGGCUGCUGUGCUGCUCUCAAGGCCCUUGGAGCAAUUGUCUACAUCACAGAAAUUGACCCUAUUUGUGCUCUGCAGGCCUGCAUGGAUGGGUUCAGGGUGGUAAAGCUAAACGAAGUCAUCCGGCAAGUUGAUGUUGUAAUAACUUGCACAGGAAAUAAGAAUGUAGUGACACGAGAGCACUUGGACCGCAUGAAAAACAGUUGUAUUGUAUGCAAUAUGGGCCACUCCAACACAGAAAUCGAUGUGGUAAGGCUUC